rnacentral:rRNA from 1 species
AUUGAACGCUGGCGGCAGGCCUAACACAUGCAAGUCGAACGGUAACAGGAAGCAGCUUGCUGCUUCGCUGACGAGUGGCGGACGGGUGAGUAAUGUCUGGGAAGCUGCCUGGUGGAGGGGGAUAACUACUGGAAACGGUAGCUAAUACCGCAUAAUGUCGCAAGACCAAAGAGGGGGACCUUCGGGCCUCUUGCCAUCGGAUGUGCCCAGAUGGGAUUAGCUUGUUGGUGGGGUAACGGCUCACCAAGGCGACGAUCCCUAGCUGGUCUGAGAGGAUGACCAGCCACACUGGAACUGAGACACGGUCCAGACUCCUACGGGAGGCAGCAGUGGGGAAUAUUGCACAAUGGGCGCAAGCCUGAUGCAGCCAUGCCGCGUGUAUGAAGAAGGCCUUCGGGUUGUAAAGUACUUUCGUCGGGGAGGAAGGGAGGAAAGUUAAUACCUUUGCUCAUUGACGUUACCCGCAGAAGAAGCACCGGCUAACUCCGUG